rnacentral:rRNA from 1 species
CAGCAGUAGCCACGGUAAUACGAAGGGGGCUAGCGUUGUUCGGAAUUACUGGGCGUAAAGCGCACGCAGGCGGCUCGAUAAAUUAGAAGUGAAAGCCUUGGGCUUAACCUGAGAAUUGCUUUUAAGACUGUCGAGCUAGAAUCCAGAAGAGGGUAGUGGAAUUCCGAGUGUAGAGGUGAAAUUCGUAGAUAUUCGGAAGAACACCAGUGGCGAAGGCGACUACCUGGUCUGGCAUUGACGCUCAUGUGCGAAAGCGUGGGGAGCAAACAGGAUUAGAUACCCCAGUAGUCCCUGUCUCUUAUAU